AGUCGAGGGGCAGCGCGGGUAGCAAUUCCUGGCGGCGACCGGCAAACGGGUGCGGAACACGUACGCAACCUUCCCAAAACUGGGGAAUAGCCCUCCGAAAGGAGGAUUAAUACCCCGUAACACAAUUGAGAGGCAUCUCUUGAUUGUUAUAGCUCCGGCGGUUUUGGAUGGGCGUGCGGCUGAUUAGGUAGUUGGCGGGGUAACGGCCCACCAAGCCAUCGAUCAGUAACUGGUGUGAGAGCACGACCAGUCACACGGGCACUGAGACACGGGCCCGACUCCUACGGGAGGCAGCAGUAAGGAAUAUUGGUCAAUGGACGCAAGUCUGAACCAGCCAUGCCGCGUGAAGGAUGAAGGCCCUCUGGGUUGUAAACUUCUUUUAUCUGGGACGAAAAAAGGGGAUUCUUCCUCACUUGACGGUACCAGAGGAAUAAGCACCGGCUAACUCCGUGCCAGCAGCCGCGGUAAUACGGAGGGUGCAAGCGUUAUCCGGAUU
rnacentral:rRNA from 1 species